UUCGUACCUAACAUACUAUAACGAGGAAUAAGCUCAGAUACACAUAUUACCAAUCUAAGUACAUUAAUUUGAUCAAAUAUAUACAUACUAAAAUACUAAAAGGAAAACAGUAUAAACAUAUUCUUUUCAAAGAAAAGAUAAUAUUAUUAUCCAAAUGCCGAAGACAAUGCGCUUUCUAUCGGAAACAAAGUGAAUUGCUAAAUAUCAAACAAUCAUGCUUAAUUCUAAGGAAACUGCGGAUGUGCAUUGUAAUUGUCAUUAGGGCUAUAGCGAUAAAUUAUUUAAGUUUUCACAAGCUAAUAUCCAAAACAACAAGUCAAAAAAGCAAAAGGUUGAAACUUCGCUUUCUUUCUUAACCCUCAAACGGUAUCUCAAAAACUUAUAGGAUCUCGGAAUAAGGGAUUUUGUGCUUAAAACCCUUUAUAACAAACCCAAACUGUAAAAUGACCAAAUUCAGUAGAAGAAACGAACGAUAUUUAGGGCAUUUUACUCAGACUUCUUCUUCUUCUCCUUUUUUUCUUUUUUCUCCUUCUUUUCCUUCUUCUCCUUCUUAGCUUCCUUUUUCCGCCGUUUUUCCUCUUUCUUAGCAGCUUCAUCCUCAUCCUUCUCAGAUGAUUCUACCGAUUUGCGCUUCUUGCUGUCUUCGACUCCAUUGACUUCAGCUUCAACAGUAGGUGCUGCAGGCGCAACAACUGGAGCAGGCUUUGCAACCUCUGCAUUAGGAUCAGAGUAGUCAAUAUAAGAUUUAGACCAAUCCGCGGGUGUGUUUUCAUUAGGACGUCCGUAUUUAUCAAGUUUUCCUUCUUUCUUCAAAGUUUUCUUUUUCAUACUUUGAGGGCCCAAACCCCAACGUCUAGGAUACACAUCUCUCUCCAUAAUACAACGCUUAACCUUGGCAACAACACCAUGAUCACAAGUCGAAAGCUCGACGGUAGACAUUUGUGCAAUACCCACAGCGAUAGCUUCACCCUUGGUAGUAAUAAGGACAAUCUCUUCGUUAACUUCAAUACCAGCUUCGUAACGAAGUAAACCAGGUAUCAUAAGUUUUGCACCAUAGCAAAUGGCAUUGACGGCACUAUCCUUUACCACAAUUCUCUUAUAGCCUACGAGGAGAGAUUCCAAUGGACGGAUAACACGACGUAAAUAAGAUUCAUCACGAGUGUUAUCAUAAAUCCAUUGAGCAUCUAAGACAUCGUGCAUGGUGACAAUAUCAUCAUUUUCCGAAAGGCAACCAGAACGAACACGACGAAGUUCUUGCAUAUGGCCUCCAACACCAAGAAGAAGACCGAGAUGUACGCAAAGAGUACGCAUGUAAGUACCUGCUUCACAGCUAGCCCAAAAAACGGCAAGGUUUCUCUCAUUGUCAAACUCAAUCAACUUGGAUUCAUAGAUACUACGAAUACGCAACUGACGCUUGACAGCUGAAAUUAAAGGAGGACGCUGAAACAAAGCACCGGUAAGAGUCUCGAUGGCAGAAGCAACAUUACGCUCACCCUCAACUGAGUCGUGAAGACGUAAAACGCAAACGUACUCUUUACCGGCACUCUGCUGAGAUUUGACCAAACGGGUGGCUCUGUCAUUGCAAAUGAUCAAACAUCCGGUAACUUUGGGAUCCAAAGUUCCACUGUGACCAGUUUUUUCAACACGAAGAAUUUUUUUAACCCAGGCAACAACCUCAUGAGAAGAUGGAUUAGCCGGUUUGUCUAAAUUGAUGACACCUGAAGAAACAUAUUCCGCAAUUGGACGUUUCAAAGGGUUAUUACCACAGGGAAUAGGUGUAUAAUGACCAGUACGAACGAGCAACUUGUCAAAGUUUUUCAAGAGCAAUGGCCACUCAGCGGUAUCAAUUUUAGAAGCAGAAGUAGCCUCAGGCUUGAUCAUAAAAUCAACUCCUGGAUGAGUGUCCGUCAUUUUUUCAAUAAUACAAUCGCAGAACGCAGGUGAAUGAACAAUCCUCGAUCCAGCGAUAUUGGCGGGCGUCAGAAAAUUGUUUCGCCAGUAGUUAUCGUGACUACCAAAAGUUAGCGAUGAAUACUUAUGCAUCUUUAAAAUUCGUUAUAUUUUGCUAUUGAUCCUUAUUUGCAAAUGUAUUAAAAAAUGCAUUAAAUUGCUUUCCAAAAGGCCAAGUUUUCCAAUCGAGUAUUUUUUACUAUUUCAUUGAUAGUAAUCCAUGUAACUGUUUUCUUUAAAUGUAAAUUUAUAACGG
rnacentral:lncRNA from 1 species